rnacentral:rRNA from 1 species
UCCGAGUGGUGUGGAUGUUUAUUGGGCCUAAAGCAUCCGUAGCUGGCUAGGUCAGUCCCUUGUUAAAUCCACCGAAUUAAUCGUUGGAUUGCGGGGGAUACUGCUUGGCUAGGGGACGAGAGAGGCAGACGGUAUUUUCGGGGUAGGGGUGAAAUCCUAUAAUCCCGGGAAGACCACCAGUGGCGAAGGCUGUCUGCUAGAACGCGCCCGACGGUGAGGGAUGAAAGCUGGGGGGGCGAACCGGAUUAGAUACCCGGGUAGUCCCAGCUGUAAACGAUGCAGACUAGGUGUUUGGACGGCCACGUGCCGUUCUAGUGCCGCAGGGAAGCUGUUAAGUCUGCCGCCUGGGGAGUACGAUCGCAAGAUUGAAACUUAAAGGAAUUGGCGGGGGAGCACCACAAGGGGUGAAGCUUGCGAUUUAAUUGGAGUCAACGCCGGAAAUCUCACCGGGAGCGACAGCAGUAUGAAGGCCAGAUUAAAGGUCUUGCCAGACGAGCUGAGA